UACGGAGGAUCCGAGCGUUAUCCGGAUUUAUUGGGUUUAAAGGGUGCGUAGGCGGCCUAUUAAGUCAGGGGGUGAAAGACGGUAGCUUAACUAUCGCAGUGCCUUUGAUACUGAUAGGCUUGAAUGUACUUGAGGUAGGCGGAAUGUGACAAGUAGCGGUGAAAUGCAUAGAUAUGUCACAGAACACCAAUUGCGAAGGCAGCUUACUAAAAGUAUGAUUGACGCUGAGGCACGAAAGCGUGGGGAUCAAACAGG
rnacentral:rRNA from 1 species